ACAAAUUCCCAGGAGUAUAUAUUGGACAGGAAUCACCAUGCAAAUGAGCAGUGUUUUGCGAUUCUAAAGCAGCCCUUCAAAGCCUGCAGGUGGCACUGUUCCAUGGAAAUUAUGAACA
rnacentral:lncRNA from 1 species